rnacentral:rRNA from 1 species
AGCGAACGCUGGCGGCAGGCUUAACACAUGCAAGUCGAGCGGGCCCUUCGGGGUCAGCGGCGGACGGGUGAGUAACGCGUGGGAACGUGCCUUCUGGUCUGGAAUAACCCUGGGAAACUAGGGCUAAUACCGGAUACGCCCUUUUGGGGAAAGGUUUACUGCCGGAAGAUCGGCCCGCGUCUGAUUGGCUAGUUGGUGGGGUAACGGCCUACCAAGGCGACGAUCAGUAGCUGGUCUGAGAGGAUGAUCAGCCACACUGGGACUGAGACACGGCCCAGACUCCUACGGGAGGCAGCAGUGGGGAAUAUUGGACAAUGGGCGCAAGCCUGAUCCAGCCAUGCCGCGUGAGUGAUGAAGGCCUUAGGGUUGUAAAGCUCUUUUAUCCGGGACGAUAAUGACGGUACCGGAGGAAUAAGCCCCGGCUAACUUCGUG